UUUUCAGUCUCUCUUUCCUCAGACGAAAUUUUUUUCUUCUCCCCUUAUACUCGAAUCCUCAGCUGAAUCGAUUAAAAGAUUAACAAAUUUUAGGGUUCAAACAUCAGCUGGAUCGAUUAACGUCUAAGGGUUUGAGGAACUUUGAAGAACUCUCAGGAGAACAGGUCGGAGUUGGAGAAUAAGCCAGGGGAACGAUAUGGAGAAGGAAGGUGUUUCUGAUGUUAGGGUUUGGAAAUAGAUCCAAGGUUCAAUUUAAUGGUAGUUUGUUGCAGUGGUGGAAGAAGAAAACGGAGGAGAUGGCCAAGAACAAGAAGCUGCCGAGGAAGUGAGUUGUUUGUUGUGAUGAAGGAAGGAGGUAGCUGAAUGGGUGCUUGUUUGAGCAUUUGCAGAUGAGAAGGACCAGAAGAUUAUAUACAUCGGUUAGUUUUUUUAAAUCCUGCUCCUUUAUAUAAAGAAUUAGCUAAAAUUACACAUGGCCACUUUUACUUAGCAAUAUGUAUGACUGCAAUGCAUAAAUUUUAAGUCCUGAGGUCUGUAUAUUUUGUUCCCACUUUAGGGCAGAAUUCUUGCAAUCAGUGUUUUUAUUUUGUCCUUCAUCCAUAAAACGAUUAAAUAGUGUUUUUCUUCAAAUUUCUGGUUUUUCCUUAAUGUUGUGGUACAUUUCAAUAUGUUUCUCUUGAGAGUAAGUUCAACAUAAUUAAUUGAGAUUACUAGAAUAAUUUACUUGAGUCUGAACUGUUUGGGGAGAUCAAUAUGUUUCUCUUGCAGUUUUUGUUGAGCACUGGAGGUGGUGUCAAUGGUUUCACACUUUCACUUGGUCCAUCGCUUGGGGAGUUUAUUAUGACACAUCCUGACAUUAAGGUGCAGAUUAGAAGUUGUGGAUGAUUGGGUUGCAGCUGAACUGAAGUGCAGAGAGUGGAGUUGCUGCUGUGACAUGGAUGGAGGAUACGAAGGAUAAGGAAAUGAUGGUUCUGCUGAGAAUGGUCUAGAAGCAAGCAUUGCCUUCCCUUCCACUUUGGACUUUGCAUAUUGUUCAAUGCUUCUGGGCAUAACCUUUCUUGUCAGGGUACUCAACAUCAAAUUCAAUGCAGGGAAGGCGUUGCAGUCACUGAUUCUCAUAUUUGAUCAUUCCUUGAGUGUUGCUAAGUGGUGGAGCAGACAAUUCAUCCAUGUUUGGUUGAGCUGAGUGAGGACCCAGAUGUGGUGUCAUAGUUUUUGAUAGCCAAGCACUUCAAUCAAGCGACCAAGUCAUGAUGUCAAUUGAUGGACAUGCUCGAUCAGUAUGAACCCUAAGAAUACACAGAGUAUGGAUACCAGCAGGAUCUUGAGCACAUUGAGCAGGUAUAGUGGGAAAUGAACUGCAGUUGGGUUGUCAUCAACUUGUGUACCAAAAAAACUUACCGGGACCAAUUGCAAUAAUGGCCUGGAUCAAUGGUUGCAGUUGCAUUUGAAGCUCUUGAUGACUAAAUCAUGGACUUGUUCUUUAUUACAAAACCAUUGUUAUUUGAAUGAUGCAUUUUUUUAUCGAAAGGAUGGAGAAUAAAGCAUCGCAAAGUUUUGUAAGUUUCUACGUAGGAAGUUAGUACGGUUCUAUGUAUUCCUUAGAAAUUUAGAACAGUUAACAAUACAAAUUGGUACUUAGAAGAAUUUGUGUACUUAACAAAAAAAAAUUGUA